CCCGCCACUACACCCGUCUGCUGGUGACUGAGUGUAAUCCAGUGGAGGCUCAGAAGCGACCCGGCUUCAGGAAACAGAGCUGUUCACACUAAUGGACACCUCUGUGCCGAAAAGUCUGGAACAAGA
rnacentral:snoRNA from 1 species